GACGAACGCUGGCGGCGUGCUUAACACAUGCAAGUCGAACGGAAAGGCCCUGCUUUUGUGGGGUGCUCGAGUGGCGAACGGGUGAGUAACACGUGAGUAACCUGCCCUUGACUUUGGGAUAACUUCAGGAAACUGGGGCUAAUACCGGAUAGGAGCUCCUGCUGCAUGGUGGGGGUUGGAAAGUUUCGGCGGUUGGGGAUGGACUGGCGGCUUAUCAGCUUGUUGGUGGGGUAGUGGCUUAGCACGGCUUUGACGGGUAGCCUGCCUGGGAGGGUGACCGGCCACAUUGGAACUGGAAUACGGCCCAGACUCCUACGGGAGGCAGCAGUGGAGAAGAUUGCACAAUGGGCGGAAGCCUGAUGCAGCAACGCCGCGUCCGGGAUGACGGCCUGCGGUUUGUAAACCGCUUUCGCCUGUGACGAAGCGUUAGUGACGGUAAUGGGUAAAGAAGCACCGGCUAACUACGUG
rnacentral:rRNA from 1 species